GCCUGGGUGGCUCAGUCGGUUGAGCGUCAGACUUCAGCUCAGGUCAUGAUCUCGCGGUCCGUGAGUUCGAGCCCCGCGUCGGGCU
rnacentral:tRNA from 1 species